rnacentral:rRNA from 1 species
UACAGAGGUCUCAAGCGUUGUUCGGAUUCAUUGGGCGUAAAGGGUGCGUAGGUGGCGCUGUAAGUCGGGUGUGAAAUUUCGGAGCUUAACUCCGAAACUGCAUUCGAUACUGCGGUGCUUGAGGACUGGAGAGGAGACUGGAAUUCAUGGUGUAGCAGUGAAAUGCGUAGAUAUCAGGAGGAACACCGAUGGCGAAGGCAGGUCUCUGGGCUGACACUGACGCUCAUGCACGAAAGCGUGGGGAGCAAACAGG